GAGGCCGUGGCCAGCGGCCCACGGGCCUAAGGCCUGAGGACACACCGCCCUCAACACGGAGGCCAGGCUCCGUAAGGGGCGCGGGUGACACCCGUGGCAACGGCACAGAAACGACACGGCCCCCGGGGAUGUCGAGGAUGCCGUGAGACCCCCUGGGUGACCGGGGGGUAGUAGCCGGUUGAGUAACCCGGGGGAUGCGUUGAAACGGCCGACCCUGGCUGAGCAAGGCUGGGGGGCUUUGAGGGCCGUGCAGCCCCCUGGGGGGACCGCUGAGUCUAAUGCCGCUGUAGUACUGAAGGCGGGUUAUGGCUACGGUCUC
rnacentral:RNase_P_RNA from 1 species